rnacentral:lncRNA from 1 species
GGUAUUUUCUCUGAGUCGUUUAGAUCACUCGAAACUAGGUGAGACAUGCACAAAAGUGAUAUAUAUGCAUUAUUAAUAUAGAAAAUUGAAUAUCUUAAUCAACGAGAAAAAAAUAUAUCUGUAUCAUAUGCCCAAGGCCUGUGGUUUAAUAUACAAAAAAGGCAGUUUUGUAUUCUUUGAUAUCAAGUUCAAUUAUCGAUGCAGAAAAGACAAUUUUUUUCUGUGUCCAGUAUCAUCGUAGAGCAUAUUCUUAAAAUAUUUUCCCGCACAAUAUCUAGACAUUGGUGGACAUGCAACAUUGCGCACGUUUAGAAAUGAAAAUCAACACUCAGACUAUAGUCAUAAAGUAGGAAAAUAAAAGAACAAAAGACCGUGAAACCCGAGACACAGAAGUACAAACAAUAGACCAUCAACUCCGAAAACCAAAAGUAAAAUAGAAACAUGGAUCACGAAAAAAAUGCAGGGGCGACAUCAGGGAGUGAAGAGAACUUGCUUCUUGCACGACACUUUCCUUGAAAACAAUUUGAUAUGAAGACAAUCAUUUUUUUCAGUCUUUUUUUUUUUUUUUUUGAAAUUUCCAGCGUGAGGCAUUUGCCUCAUUUACCUCAAUGUAGUUACGGCCCUG